ACGCGUAGGCAACCUGCCUUGCACAGAGGGAUAACACCGGGAAACUGGUGCUAAUACCACAUGAUAUCAUAACAAGGCAUCUUGAAAUGAUCAAAGGAGAAAUCCGGUGCAAGAUGGGCCUGCGUCCGAUUAGUUAGUUGGUGAGGUAACGGCUCACCAAGGCGACGAUCGGUAGCCGAACUGAGAGGUUGAUCGGCCACAUUGGGACUGAGACACGGCCCAGACCCCUACGGGAGGCAGCAGUGGGGAAUAUUGCGCAAUGGGGGGAACCCUGACGCAGCAACGCCGCGUGAAGGAAGAAGGCCUUCGGGUUGUAAACUUUUUUGAUUGGGGAAGAAAAAAAUGACGGUACCCAAGGAACAAGCCACGGCUAACUACGUGCCAGCAGCCGCGGUAAUACGUAGGUGGCGAGCGUUGUCCGGAAUUACUGGGUGUAAAGGGCGUGUAGGCGGGAUUGUAAGUCAGAUGUGAAAUUCCAGGGCUUAACUCUGGAGGUGCAUCUGAAACUAUAAUUCUUGAGUGCUGGAGAGGAAAGCGGAAUUCCUAGUGUAGCGGUGAAAUGCGUAGAUAUUAGGAAGAACACCAGUGGCGAAGGCGGCUUUCUGGACAGUAACUGACGCUGAGGCGCGAAAGCGUGGGGAGCAAACAGGAUUAGAUACCCUGGUAGUCCACGCUGUAAACGAUGGAUACUAGGUGUAGGAGGUAUCGACCCCUUCUGUGCCGGAGUUAACACAAUAAGUAUCCCACCUGGGGAGUACGGCCGCAAGGCUGAAACUCAAAGGAAUUGACGGGGGCCCGCACAAGCAGUGGAGUAUGUGGUUUAAUUCGAAGCAACGCGAAGAACCUUACCAGGGCUUGACAUCCCUCGGAUAACAUAGAGAUAUGUUAGUCCUUCGGGACGAGGAGACAGGUGGUGCAUGGUUGUCGUCAGCUCGUGUCGUGAGAUGUUGGGUUAAGUCCCGCAACGAGCGCAACCCCUAUUGUUAGUUGCCAUCAUUAAGUUGGGCACUCUAACGAGACUGCCGGUGACAAAUCGGAGGAAGGUGGGGACGACGUCAAAUCAUCAUGCCCCUUAUGUCCUGGGCUACACACGUACUACAAUGGUCACUACAAAGGGAAGCAAUACCGCAAGGAGGAGCAAAUCCCCAAAGGUGACCUCAGUUCGGAUUGUGGGCUGAAACCCGCCCACAUGAAGUCGGAAUUGCUAGUAAUGGCAGGUCAGCAUACUGUCGUGAAUACGUUCCCGGGCCUUGUACACACCGCCCGUCACACCAUGAGAGUUUGCAACA
rnacentral:rRNA from 1 species